rnacentral:rRNA from 1 species
CCUACGGGAGGCAGCAGUGAGGAAUAUUGGUCAAUGGGCGCGAGCCUGAACCAGCCAAGUAGCGUGAAGGAUGACUGCCCUACGGGUUGUAAACUUCUUUUAUAAAGGAAUAAAGUGAGGCACGUGUGCCUUUUUGUAUGUACUUUAUGAAUAAGGAUCGGCGAACUCCGUGCCAGCAGCCGCGGUAAUACGGAGGAUCCGAGCGUUAUCCGGAUUUAUUGGGUUUAAAGGGAGCGUAGAUGGGUUGUUAAGUCAGUUGGGAAAGUUUGCGGCUCAACCGUAAAAUUGCAAUUGAUACUGGCAGCCUUGAGUACGGUAGAGGUAGGCGGAAUGCGGGGGGUAGCGGUGAAAUGCUGAGAUAUCACGAAGAACUCCGAUUGCGAAGGCAGCUUACUAGACUGCAACUGACGUUGAUGCUCGAAAGUGUGGGUAUCAAACAGGAUUAGAUACCCCAGUAGUC